rnacentral:lncRNA from 1 species
GGUCAGGCAUUUUAAAUUUGGGGCCCUUCAGUUUCCCUUCUGGACCAUGAAUAUCAAUAUCAGGAGUGUCAAUGUCCACUUUGGGUCCUGAGACAUCAAUGUCAGCCUUGGGCAGGUUCACAUCCACAUCUGGGCCCUCUCCUUUGAAGCCAGGCAUGCUGAACUUGGGCAUUUUCACCUUGGGCAUCUUCAGGUGCCAGUCUGGGCCUUGAACAUCAACAUCUGGAGCAUCAAUGUCCACCUUGGGUCCUGAGACAUCAAGGUCAGCCUUGGGCAGGUUCACAUCCACAUCUGGGCCCUCUCCUUUGAAGCCAGGCAUGCUGAAUUUGGGCAUUUUCACUUUGGGCAUUUUUAGGUGCCAGUCUGGGCCUUGAACCUCCACAUCUGGGACAUCAAUGUCCA